UGGGGAAUAUUGCACAAUGGGCGCAAGCCUGAUGCAGCCAUGCCGCGUGUGUGAAGAAGGCCUUCGGGUUGUAAAGCACUUUCAGCGAGGAGGAAGGUGGUGAGCUUAAUACGCUCAUCAAUUGACGUUACUCGCAGAAGAAGCACCGGCUAACUCCGUGCCAGCAGCCGCGGUAAUACGGAGGGUGCAAGCGUUAAUCGGAAUUACUGGGCGUAAAGCGCACGCAGGCGGUUUGUUAAGUCAGAUGUGAAAUCCCCGGGCUCAACCUGGGAACUGCAUUUGAAACUGGCAAGCUAGAGUCUCGUAGAGGGGGGUAGAAUUCCAGGUGUAGCGGUGAAAUGCGUAGAGAUCUGGAGGAAUACCGGUGGCGAAGGCGGCCCCCUGGACGAAGACUGACGCUCAGGUGCGAAAGCGUGGGGAGCAAACAGAUUAGAUACCCUGGUAGUCCACGCUGUAAACGAUGUCGAUUUU
rnacentral:rRNA from 1 species